AGUGAACGCUGGCGGUAGGCCUAACACAUGCAAGUCGAACGGCAGCACAGUAAGAGCUUGCUCUUACGGGUGGCGAGUGGCGGACGGGUGAGGAAUACAUCGGAAUCUACUUUUUCGUGGGGGAUAACGUAGGGAAACUUACGCUAAUACCGCAUACGACCUACGGGUGAAAGCAGGGGAUCUUCGGACCUUGCGCGAUUGAAUGAGCCGAUGUCGGAUUAGCUAGUUGGCGGGGUAAAGGCCCACCAAGGCGACGAUCCGUAGCUGGUCUGAGAGGAUGAUCAGCCACACUGGAACUGAGACACGGUCCAGACUCCUACGGGAGGCAGCAGUGGGGAAUAUUGGACAAUGGGCGCAAGCCUGAUCCAGCCACACCGCGUGGGUGAAGAAGGCCUUCGGGUUGUAAAGCCCUUUUGUUGGGAAAGAAAAGCAGCAGGUGAAUACCCCGCUGUUCUGACGGUACCCAAAGAAUAAGCACCGGCUAACUUCGUG
rnacentral:rRNA from 1 species